rnacentral:rRNA from 1 species
UACGUAGGGUGCGAGCGUUGUCCGGAAUUACUGGGCGUAAAGAGCUCGUAGGUGGUUUGUCGCGUUGUUCGUGAAAACUCACAGCUUAACUGUGGGCGUGCGGGCGAUACGGGCAGACUGGAGUACUGCAGGGGAGACUGGAAUUCCUGGUGUAGCGGUGGAAUGCGCAGAUAUCAGGAGGAACACCGGUGGCGAAGGCGGAUCUCUGGGCCAUUACUGACGCUGAGGAGCGAAAGCGUGGGGAGCGAACAGG